GAUUUCUGGGUGACUGUGCUAGCCCGCUCCUUUCCGGGAGUGUGUGCCGGUACACGUCAUUCAUCCUUCUAGAAAGCCUUGCCUGCCGUUCAUUCGGCUGGGCAUGUGCGGUCUAGAUCUUUUACUUUGAAUAAAUUAGAGUGUUUAAAGCAGGCUUACGCUAUGAAUACAUUAGCAUGGAAUAAUAAUCUAGGACUUCGGUUCUAUUUUGUUGGUUUCUAUAACUGAAGUAAUGAUUGAUAGGGAUAGUUGGGGGUGCUAGUAUUGGCCGGCCAGAGGUGAAAUUCUUGGAUUCGGUCAAGACUAACUUAUGCGAAAGCAUU
rnacentral:rRNA from 1 species